rnacentral:rRNA from 1 species
UACGUAUGGGGCGAGCGUUGUCCGGAUUUACUGGGCGUAAAGGGUGAGUAGGCGGUCUGUCAAGUCAGUAGUGGAAGUCCAUUUCUCAAGGAUGGAAGUGCUAUAGAAACUGAUGGGCUUGAGUGCAGGAGAGGUUAUCGGAAUUCCCGGUGUGGCGGUGAAAUGCGUAGAGAUCGGGAGGAACACCAGUGGCGAAGGCGGGUAACUGGACUGCAACUGACGCUGAGGCGCGAAAGUGUGGGGAGCAAACAGGAUUAGAUACCCCCGUA